CCCUGUACACACGGAUAACAUACCGAAAGGUAUGCUAAUACGGGAUAAUAUAUUUGAGAGGCAUCUCUUGAAUAUCAAAGGUGAGCCAGUACAGGAUGGACCCGCGUCUGAUUAGCUAGUUGGUAAGGUAAUGGCUUACCAAGGCGACGAUCAGUAGCCGACCUGAGAGGGUGAUCGGCCACAUUGGAACUGAGACACGGUCCAAACUCCUACGGGAGGCAGCAGUGGGGAAUAUUGCACAAUGGGCGAAAGCCUGAUGCAGCAACGCCGCGUGAGUGAUGAAGGCCUUCGGGUCGUAAAACUCUGUCCUCAAGGAAGAUAAUGACGGUACUUGAGGAGGAAGCCCCGGCUAACUACG
rnacentral:rRNA from 1 species